UUUUAUGGAGAGUUUGAUCCUGGCUCAGGAUGAACGCUGGCGGCGUGCCUAAUACAUGCAAGUCGAGCGAACGGACGAGAAGCUUGCUUCUCUGAUGUUAGCGGCGGACGGGUGAGUAACACGUGGAUAACCUACCUAUAAGACUGGGAUAACUUCGGGAAACCGGAGCUAAUACCGGAUAAUAUUUUGAACCGCAUGGUUCAAAAGUGAAAGACGGUCUUGCUGUCACUUAUAGAUGGAUCCGCGCUGCAUUAGCUAGUUGGUAAGGUAACGGCUUACCAAGGCAACGAUGCAUAGCCGACCUGAGAGGGUGAUCGGCCACACUGGAACUGAGACACGGUCCAGACUCCUACGGGAGGCAGCAGUAGGGAAUCUUCCGCAAUGGGCGAAAGCCUGACGGAGCAACGCCGCGUGAGUGAUGAAGGUCUUCGGAUCGUAAAACUCUGUUAUUAGGGAAGAACAUAUGUGUAAGUAACUGUGCACAUCUUGACGGUACCUAAUCAGAAAGCCACGGCUAACUACGUGCCAGCAGCCGCGGUAAUACGUAGGUGGCAAGCGUUAUCCGGAAUUAUUGGGCGUAAAGCGCGCGUAGGCGGUUUUUUAAGUCUGAUGUGAAAGCCCACGGCUCAACCGUGGAGGGUCAUUGGAAACUGGAAAACUUGAGUGCAGAAGAGGAAAGUGGAAUUCCAUGUGUAGCGGUGAAAUGCACAGAGAUAUGGAGGAACACCAGUGGCGAAGGCGACUUUCUGGUCUGUAACUGACGCUGAUGUGCGAAAGCGUGGGGAUCAAACAGGAUUAGAUACCCUGGUAGUCCACGCCGUAAACGAUGAGUGCUAAGUGUUAGGGGGUUUCCGCCCCUUAGUGCUGCAGCUAACGCAUUAAGCACUCCGCCUGGGGAGUACGACCGCAAGGUUGAAACUCAAAGGAAUUGACGGGGACCCGCACAAGCGGUGGAGCAUGUGGUUUAAUUCGAAGCAACGCGAAGAACCUUACCAAAUCUUGACAUCCUUUGACAACUCUAGAGAUAGAGCCUUCCCCUUCGGGGGACAAAGUGACAGGUGGUGCAUGGUUGUCGUCAGCUCGUGUCGUGAGAUGUUGGGUUAAGUCCCGCAACGAGCGCAACCCUUAAGCUUAGUUGCCAUCAUUAAGUUGGGCACUCUAAGUUGACUGCCGGUGACAAACCGGAGGAAGGUGGGGAUGACGUCAAAUCAUCAUGCCCCUUAUGAUUUGGGCUACACACGUGCUACAAUGGACAAUACAAAGGGCAGCGAAACCGCGAGGUCAAGCAAAUCCCAUAAAGUUGUUCUCAGUUCGGAUUGUAGUCUGCAACUCGACUACAUGAAGCUGGAAUCGCUAGUAAUCGUAGAUCAGCAUGCUACGGUGAAUACGUUCCCGGGUCUUGUACACACCGCCCGUCACACCACGAGAGUUUGUAACACCCGAAGCCGGUGGAGUAACCUUUUAGGAGCUAGCCGUCGAAGGUGGGACAAAUGAUUGGGGUGAAGUCGUAACAAGGUAGCCGUAUCGGAAGGUGCGGCUGGAUCACCUCCUUUCU
rnacentral:rRNA from 1 species